CUACGGAGGGGGCUAGCGUUGUUCGGAAUUACUGGGCGUAAAGCGUACGUAGGCGGACUGAUCAGUUGGGGGUGAAAUCCCAGGGCUUAACCCUGGAACUGCCUUCAAUACUGUCAGUCUUGAGUUUGGGAGAGGUGAGUGGAAUUCCUAGUGUAGAGGUGAAAUUUAUAGAUAUUAGGAGGAACACCAGUGGCGAAGGCGGCUCACUGGCCCAUUACUGACGCUGAGGUACGAAAGCGUGGGGAGCAAACAGGAUUAGAAACCCUAGUAGUCC
rnacentral:rRNA from 1 species